rnacentral:misc_RNA from 1 species
ACUAUAUUGAACUAACGCUAUUAUUGAUACAGUUUCUGU